CUUUGUGUACACUUUUUACACUCGGUCGAGACUAAAGCACACGAAAAUAAAAUAAUCUCGAAUAUAGGUGAUGAGAGAAAUUAAUGACAUUGUAGUCAGGGCAGCUAGGUGGUCUAAUGGAGUUACCGCCAUUGCGAGAAUCUUCGGAACCGAUGCUACAAACCUAUAUGUAGGAACCAUAAUCCUUGUGAGUCAUAAUGCACCACUCCUAAGUGCAUUCAGACAUCGUGUGACGACGCAUGGUCUGCCCGAUAUAUCGUGGACAGAACGCCACUGCCUAUACGACGAAUCCGGUCGAAGCGAAUACCUAAAGAGUAUAGAAUAGCGUAAAGGGCAGAUCGCAGCCUGCCAUUCCCGGACUUCCCGGCCAGGCGCCGGACCGACAUAUAAGAUCGCUGCUCCAGCGUUGAGCCAUCGCUCCGAGGACCGAUUCCGCGUACCUGUCGAUAGUGACUGUAUCACGGAGUAUGGAGCCAUAAUCCACCACUCCAAGUUGAGAGUUACUGCAAGUUGUUGCUCCCCAUUCGGCAACUUUGACCGGGAGGUAUCCUCCUUGCUCCACACAUGCUUUUGCCAUAGGGUCCCCAACGAUAGGCAACUAGGAAGGUAAGGUGCCGGCAACUGAAAAUUUUGUGAGAGCUGGUAUCAACGACGAAAUCAUGAGCGGAACAUUACGUGUCAUCUAUCGGUAAUUUUUGAAGAUGCGUAACACAAUUACAACUGAUAUUCGCCACAGGAGGAAUGACCCAAUUAUAGUGGGGAAUAAACGACCAAUUACAGGAAGCAGGAUUACCUGACGACAUCAGCGAGAACGGCGAGCCAAACCCCGACCUCCAUCUAUUCUACGCUCAUGAGAUUGAGAUAACUCUUUCUAUCUCGCUCGUUACGUGUAGAAAUUGCCUUCACUUCAUUUUCCUUUCCUUCUUCUUUACUGCUAUCGCUACCGUUUCUCUAUCGUUUUAUAUGACCGUUUAGCUCCUUUCCUUUUCUAUUACCUUUUUUUUCUUACUAUCGAUAAAUUUUAUUUAAAUUUAAAUCAGUGCAUGCGUGCCCGAGUCACCGGCUAAGGGUACAAGCUGUGACUGUCCGUGAGACUUGGGGUCCUCAAAUAGUUGCCGUCAGACACGAAUGACUCAGUGCUGUACACAUAUAUUUGUCUCACUGUGCUGUAACUAUCUGGUCCUAUUCGAGUUUUACAAAAGCAAAGUGUUGAAGUUGUCAGGUAAAAUAACUUUGGUUAAAUAUAAAUUUUAAUUAACUAAUUGCAUUCUGUGCUUUUAGUUCUAUGGUGUCACAAAUGAAUCAUAAAUGGAAAUUACAAUAAACGAAUAAGAAAAUGUAAAAUAAAUUUUUUAAAUUAAAUAAUUAACUCACGCAUAAACUAGACGAUACGAUUGUGUUUUACGCUUCUUUGUGGCUACUGUUUUACGUAAGUUUGGCUGUGUCUCAUAAAUAUUGAUCUUGUAGUGUCACGAAUAGCUGACAAUUAUUGAUCAGUCACAGGGGUUAUCAUUAUUAUUAUUCACCAAUCAUAGAAAAUACCUACCGUACAGGGUGAGUUUGGGCAGAUCCGAACGAGGGAGGGACUUAUCUUCAUCAUCAUCGAUACCCCGCCCUUUUCUCAAUGAAAAUUUUAUCAAAAUGUUGAUACUAAGCCUGGUGGUAGGACUUGAAAAAAGUAUGAUACAGCAAGGGAGCGAGUCAUUCGUGGUGAUGAGCCCCUCUUGCAUUUAGGCCUGGAAAAAGCUCACGAUAAACAUAAUAAACUUAUACAUGACUACAGUAUUACAGGUUAUUUUAAUCGGUAUAAUUUGUUUAUUCGAAAAUUGAUUUGAGCAUAUCAACGAUUUUGCGAGUUACUGUUACCCAUAAAACUAUAUAUUCAUCUGUAAUUGUAGACUUUCUUAAAUUGUUGUUUAAUAUCUGAUUAUUUUGACGGUUAAUAACACAUGAGAGUCUAUGCUGAUUAAAUACAGGAAAUUGUUUCAAUAAAUAUUUCUCGAAAAAAUAUCUUUACAGACUGUUAACAUCGUAAGCAGUUUUCAAAGACCAAGAAAAGAUAUGAAUCAUCCAA
rnacentral:lncRNA from 1 species